rnacentral:rRNA from 1 species
UCUUGCGCAAUGGGCGAAAGCCUGACGCAGCCAUGCCGCGUGAAUGAUGAAGGUCUUAGGAUUGUAAAAUUCUUUCACCGGGGACGAUAAUGACGGUACCCGGAGAAGAAGCCCCGGCUAACUUCGUGCCAGCAGCCGCGGUAAUACGAAGGGGGCUAGCGUUGCUCGGAAUUACUGGGCGUAAAGGGCGCGUAGGCGGAUCGUUAAGUCAGAGGUGAAAUCCCAGGGCUCAACCCUGGAACUGCCUUUGAUACUGGCGAUCUUGAGAUAGAGAGGUAUGUGAACUCCGAGUGAGAGGUAAAUUCGAGUUUCGAAGACACCAGUGGCGAGCACAUCUGCUAUUCUGCGUGGGCAAAUCG